GUGGGGAAUCUUGCGCAAUGGGCGAAAGCCUGACGCAGCCAUGCCGCGUGAAUGAUGAAGGUCUUAGGAUUGUAAAAUUCUUUCACCGGGGACGAUAAUGACGGUACCCGGAGAAGAAGCUCCGGCUAACUUCGUGCCAGCAGCCGCGGUAAUACGAAGGGGGCUAGCGUUGCUCGGAAUUACUGGGCGUAAAGGGCGCGUAGGCGGACAGCUUAGUCAGAGGUGAAAGCCCAGGGCUCAACCUUGGAAUUGCCUUUGAUACUGGCUGUCUUGAGUUUGGGAGAGGUGAGUGGAACUCCGAGUGUAGAGGUGAAAUUCGUAGAUAUUCGGAAGAACACCAGUGGCGAAGGCGACUCACUGGCCCAAUACUGACGCUGAGGCGCGAAAGCGUGGGGAGCAGACAGGAUUAGAAACCCCUGUAGUCC
rnacentral:rRNA from 1 species